rnacentral:rRNA from 1 species
AGUGAACGCUGGCGGUAGGCCUAACACAUGCAAGUCGAACGGCAGCACAGUAAGAGCUUGCUCUUACGGGUGGCGAGUGGCGGACGGGUGAGGAAUACAUCGGAAUCUACUUUUUCGUGGGGGAUAACGUAGGGAAACUUACGCUAAUACCGCAUACGACCUACGGGUGAAAGCAGGGGAUCUUCGGACCUUGCGCGAUUGAAUGAGCCGAUGUCGGAUUAGCUAGUUGGCGGGGUAAAGGCCCACCAAGGCGACGAUCCGUAGCUGGUCUGAGAGGAUGAUCAGCCACACUGGAACUGAGACACGGUCCAGACUCCUACGGGAGGCAGCAGUGGGGAAUAUUGAACAAUGGGCGCAAGCCUGAUCCAGCCAUACCGCGUGGGUGAAGAAGGCCUGCGGGUUGUAAGCCCUUUUGUUGGGAAAGAAAAGCAGCAGGUUAAUACCCCGCUGUUCUGACGGUACCCAAAGAAUAAGCACCGGCUAACUUCGUG